rnacentral:rRNA from 1 species
CCAAGGAGUCUAACAUGUACGCGAGUCAUUGGGAAAGUAAACCCAAAGGCAUAAUGAAAGUGAAGAUUCAUAUUGUGAAUUUGAGGAGAGAUCAUGGUUCUGCUUGGGAUUCCGCAAGGUUUUCUGAGUAGAAUAUGCGCAUCUCCUGGACAUCUGAACUCUUGAGAGUUGGGUGUACCUAGAGCGUACACGUUGGGACCCGAAAGAUGGUGAACUAUGCCUGGUCAGGACGAAGUCAGGGGAAACCCUGAUGGAGGUUCGUAGAGAUUCUGACGUGCAAAUCGAUCUUCGGAACUGGGUAUAGGGGCGAAAGACUAAUCGAACCAUCUA